rnacentral:rRNA from 1 species
CAGGUAGGCGGGCCGGUAAGUCGGAUGUGAAAACCCCGUGGCUUAACCCGGGGCCGGCAUCUGAAACUGCUGGUCUUGAGUUACGGGAGUAGGGAGAUGGAACUUCCUGGUGUAACGGUGAAAUGUGUAGAUAUCAGGAGGAACACCGGUGGCGAAGGCGGUCUCCUGGCCCGAUACUGACGCUGAUCUGCGAAAGCUAGGGUAGCAAACAGGAUUAGAUACCCUGGUAGUCCUAGCCGUAAACGUUGGUCACUAGGUGUUGGAUCCCUAAUAAGGAUUCAGUGCCGCAGCUAACGCAUUAAGUGACCCACCUGGGGACUACGGCCGCAAGGUUGAA